rnacentral:rRNA from 1 species
GCCAAAGACUGACGCUCAUGUGCGAAAGUGUGGGUAGCGAACAGGAUUAGAUACCCUGGUAGUCCACACCGUAAACGCUGUCUACUAGCUGUUUGUGGAUUUAAUCCGUGAGUAGCGAAGCUAACGCGAUAAGUAGACCGCCUGGGGAGUACGGCCGCAAGGUUAAAACUCAAAUGAAUGACGGGGGCCCGCACAGCGGUGGAGCAUGUGGUUUAAUUCGAUGCAACGCGAAGAACCUUACCUACUCUUGACAUACUAGAAACUUUUCAGAGAUGAAUUGGUGCCUUCGGGAAUCUAGAUACAGGUGCUGCAUGGCUGUUGUCAGCUCGUGUCGUGAGAUGUUGGGUUAAGUCCCGCAACGAGCGCAACCCUUGUCCUUAGUUACCAGCAUUAAGUUGGGUACUUUAAGGAGACUGCCGGUGACAAACCGGAGGAAGGUGGGGACGACGUCAAGUCAUCAUGGCCCUUACGAGUAGGGCUACACACGUGCUACAAUGGCGAGUACAAAGGGAUGCAAACUGGUGACAGUAAGCGGACCCCUUAAAGCUUGUUGUAGUCCGGAUUGGAGUUUGCAACUUGACUCCAUGAAGUUGGAAUCGCUAGUAAUUGUAGGUCAGCAUACUACGGUGAAUACGUUCCCGGGCCUUGUACACACCGCCCGUCACCCCAUGGGAGUGGGAUGCAAAAGAAGUAGGUAGCUUAACCUUCGGGAUGGCGCUUACCACUUUGUGUUUCAUGACUGGGGUGAAGUCGUAACAAGGUAGCCGUAAUUGAAUUUCCCGCGGCCGCCAA